AUGACUGAACUAUCUAGCAUCCAACUUAAUAAUGAGGAAAAGAGGGAGCAGAUAAAAGCUCGAAGGCGGGCCGCUUAUCGGAAGAAAGAUGAUGAGAGUUCCAUAAAGCUAAAUACAGAUGUGCAGAAUGUUGCACGGCAUCCUCUCGGUGAUAUCACUAAUGCGUAUCAACCAUCCUCUAUGGACGUUGACGAAAGAAAGGAGCUGAUAAAGGCGCGGAGGCGAGCUGCUUAUCGAAAGAGAAAAGAGGAGGCUACCGUCAAACAACAGAAUGAGAAUCUGUCUGCACUUACGAUAUCAGUGAUGAGGGUACCAUCAAUGUACAAGCGGAUGUGCAAAAUGUUCCCAUAUCCCCUCCCGGUGAUAUCACUAAUGGGCAUCAACCAACCUCGUUGUACCUUGACGAGAAAAAGGAGCAGAUAA
rnacentral:rRNA from 1 species